rnacentral:rRNA from 1 species
AUUGAACGCUGGCGGCAGGCCUAACACAUGCAAGUCGAGCGGAGCGGCGCACGGGUGUGUAUUGCCUAUGAAUCUGUCCGGUAGUGGGGGAUAACGUCCGGAAACGGGCGCUAAUAUCCCAUACUCUCUGAUGAGUCUAGGUCGGAUUAGCUAGUUGGUGGGGUAAAGGCCUACCAAGGCGACGAUCCGUAUCUGGUCUGAGAGGAUGAUCAGCCACACUGGAACUGAGACACGGUCCAGACUCCUACGGGAGGCAGCAGUGGGGAAUAUUGGACAAUGGGCGAAAGCCUGAUCCAGCCAUGCCGCGUGUGUGAAGAAGGUCUUCGGAUUGUAAAGCACUUUAAGUUGGGAGGCGUUACCAACAGAAUAAGCACCGGCUAACUUCGUGCCAGCAGCCGCGGUAAUAC